rnacentral:rRNA from 1 species
CAUGAACGCUGGCGGCGUGCCUAACACAUGCAUGUCGAGCGAAGCACUUCGCUUAGAUUCUUCGGACGAAGAGGAUGGUGACUGAGCGGCGGACGGGUGAGUAACGCGUGGGUAACCUGCCUCAUACAGGGGGAUAACAGUUAGACAUGACUGCUAAUACCGCAUAAGACCACAGCACCGCAUGGUGCGGGGGUAAAAACUCCGGUGGUAUGAGAUGGACCCGCGUCUGAUUAGCUAGUUGGUAAGGUAACGGCUUACCAAGGCGACGAUCAGUAGCCGACCUGAGAGGGUGACCGGCCACAUUGGGACUGAGACACGGCCCAAACUCCUACGGGAGGCAGCAGUGGGGAAUAUUGCACAAUGGGGGAAACCCUGAUGCAGCGACGCCGCGUGAGCGAAGAAGUAUUUCGGUAUGUAAAGCUCUAUCAGCAGGGAAGAAAAUGACGGUACCUGACUAAGAAGCACCGGCUAAAUACGUGCCAGCAGCCGCGGUAAUACGUAUGGUGCAAGCGUUAUCCGGAUUUACUGGGUGUAAAGGGAGCGUAGACGGAUGGGCAAGUCUGAUGUGAAAACCCGGGGCUCAACCCCGGGACUGCAUUGGAAACUGUUCAUCUAGAGUGCUGGAGAGGUAAGUGGAAUUCCUAGUGUAGCGGUGAAAUGCGUAGAUAUUAGGAGGAACACCAGUGGCGAAGGCGGCUUACUGGACAGUAACUGACGUUGAGGCUCGAAAGCGUGGGGAGCAAACAGG